CAGUAGCCGCGGGAAUACGUAGGGUGCGAGCGUUAAUCGGAAUUACUGGGCGUAAAGCGUGCGCAGGCGGUUGUGUAAGACAGGUGUGAAAUCCCCGGGCUUAACCUGGGAAUGGCAGUGGAUACUGGCUCGCUAGAGUGUGUCAGAGGAUGGUGGAAUUCCCGGUGUAGCGGUGAAAUGCGUAGAGAUCGGGAGGAACAUCAGUGGCGAAGGCGGCCAUCUGGGACAACACUGACGCUGAGGCACGAAAGCGUGGGGAGCGAACAGGAUUAGAUACCCCUUAGUCCCGUCUCUUAUACAC
rnacentral:rRNA from 1 species